GUUCUGGGAGAUGAUAAAGUUUGCCUGGAUCCAGUAUGUCAGCAUCCUGCUCAUCUUCCUCUGGGUGUUUGAAAGAAUCAAAAUCUUCGUGUUUCAGAACCAAGUAGUGACCUCCAUCCCUGUAGCCGUGCCCCAGGGAGAGAUAAGGAAAGAGCACUUAUCCUGAGAAGCUUCUGUCAGGAGACUGAGGGACCAUGGCUACCUCAUUCCUGUCUUCUGAGACCGGCAGUUUUACAACAUUUCUGCAAAGAGCCCGCUGGACACUCUCAGGCCUGCGUGCGUGUUUCACCUCAGAGACAAAGAAUGGAUUUUCCAGUGUUGUCCGGCACAACCCCCACGUCUUCAAAGCACGGGGGGAACCUACAAACACUAGUUUGUGGAAAGGUCGCAGGGUUACAGGAGGGUUAUGUUUUGUUUCUGGUUUUGCUCUGCUUUGGCCUUGAAUUUCAGGAGAAAAUUGUGGUGAGUUCAUACAUCUUUGAAAGAGCCCCACCUCUGGUCAAGGGAGGAGUUUACUUCUUUUGAACUGGGAUGCCCUGUCCACCCCUCCCUCCUAUCAUAAGCUAGCUACAUUUUUAGCCUCCUCCGGUCUCUCACAAGAAAUAUGCAAAUCCCUAGUACUUUCUGCUCUUAGAUAUCUACACAGUGCCCAUUCAGAACUUUGAUUUCCAGAGCUGAAGCCUUCAACUGGAGAACGGAAGGGGGCAGGGCGUCUCAAAUACAAGAGUCUCAGAAACAUGUGCGUGCUGGCGGGUGACUUAAGGGCAGGAGGACCAGACACCUGCCCUCAGCCCUCAGGCUAAUAGAUGGGGGUCUGUCAUCGGCUCAGCUAAACAGCCCUCUGUUCCUGCCCUGCUAUGGCUGGCUCUGUGCCCUGUUUCUUGGCCUCUGUCUGUGCCCCUGGGAUGGUGGCUGGAGUCAGAAGUGCUGUUUCAUUCAGUCUGUCCCCCUACCCCCAGCAUCAGUGGAGGACAUUGGGCUUCUAACAACAGGUUCUUUCUCCCUGGCCCUCACCCAACAGCCCAGCCACUCCUCCUCCUCCUUGCUGGCCUUCCCCCUUUCUGAAAGGAUGUGGGUGACAGAAGGGUGGCUGUUGGCAUUGGCUCCCACUGCCUGACAACCUCAGGGUUUAUUCGGAGGCUGUUCCCUCGAUUAAGGAACAGGGUACUUACCAGAGGGGAGGCUUUGGGGAAGGCAUGAGGAGCAGAGAGUGAGGAAGGAGGCUAAGCAGAGCCUCUAAUCCAGCCUGGCCAUUAACAGUGAGAAGGAGCCCAGCCAGAUAGCCCUCUGAUCUGCAGAAGUCUACAAAGACUUCUACUUUACACAGAAAUCUCUCAUUUGGCCCCGGUCCUGCGCUGAGCAAUUGUGCCCUCUUAAAGAACUCCACCUUUGGCCCUGGGAGGACACGCCCUACCACCCUUGCCUCCAUGCCUAACCACAAACGCUCCUCCCUUCGUGCCUCAGUUUACCUUGGAGGCACCCUUCUGUCAGACUGAGCAAAUAAGAAUUUUGAAAACCAAGCUCUUUCGAAGUAUUUGAGGAGAGAAACUCUCUAGUACUGGUUUCUCUGACCUAACACGUACGGCUGAUUAUACGCCCGAAGAGUUACGUGAAAAACGGUCUCUGAUUUCAAUUUCGCAAAGGUUAUGAGAGGGCUAGGGAUGUGGCUCUGUUGGAAGAGCGCCUGCCUGGCAUGCUUGGAGCCCUGGGUUCCAUCCCCAGCACACCUUCACGGUGGUGCAAGCCGAUAACCCCAGCACAUCAGGGGUGGAGGCAGGAGUAGAAUCAUCCCUAAGUUAGAGCCCAGCCUGGGAUACUUGAGACCCUGUCUGAAUAAAAUAAGGAAAUGGGCUUGGCGGCGUGACAAGAAAUAUAUUGUAUGGAAAAAAAGAUAACAAGUUACAGAAAGAUGACCAAAGAUACAAGCUACUUUGCAUUAUAUUAAACUAUUCUGUGCAAAUUCUGUAUACAGAACUCAAUGAUGUUUUAUAACUUUCUAAUUAAAAUAUUCUGAAAGGAA
rnacentral:lncRNA from 1 species